GCUCGAAGUUCCGGCAAGUUGUGACAACCAGCACCCUGUCAAUCAAUUUUCCAAUGCGGAACGGUUGAAAUGUCCAAUAUGCUCACCGAGAUGGAUACAGACACACCCUAAAUUGGUGCACCUAAGUUUCGUUUCCCCAAAAAAUCUAGGCACUGCAUUAUUUAAACCGGACCCAGUCUUUUCUCCUGCAGUCACUGAUAGUCACUGAGGAAACAUGGAACUUUUUACCGGUAUUGCGGUCACAGUAGGAGCAGGGUUAGCGGUGGCCUUUGCUCCAGCUACCCUAAGCGCUGUAGGGUUUACCGUAACUGGCAUCGCCGCAAAAUCUUUAGCAGCCGGCAUGAUGUCAUCCGCAGCCACUGCAAGUGGCGGUGGUGUGUUGGCUGGAAGCAUCGUUGCCGUUCUGCAGUCGGCAGGUGCAGCAGGGUUAGCUGGGUCUACAACCGCAGUGGUGGCUGGUGUUGGAGGAGCAGUUGGAGGAGCAGUGGGAUGGCUCACCGCUACAGCAGCUGGACUCAUCACAUGAUCCAAAUAUUGAUGAUUGAUAGCUGUCUUGGGACAGCUCUCGUCUAAGACAAUUUUAAUCACAAAGAUCACCUCUUUAAAUAUAUAUUUUUUUUUUAUCCUUUAUUUAGGGAUACAUAUAAACACUUGUUAAGACGGUGAAGGAAGGCUUAGUGUUUAAAAAUAUAUAUUAUUGAAGUUCAUAUCCUCAAUAUUGUGUGCAAUGAAGGAAAAUUAUGACUGACUUGUUCUGUUAGGACAUCUUGGUCAGCUGCACUUUCAAGCCCAGGGCUUUUUUAUACCGUACUUUUUACUUUUUCAUAUUUCAGUUUAAUACCUUCUUUAUCUCAAUCAAAGGUCAAGUGUUGCCAGAUAUAAUGUAAACAUUUGUCUGGUGUCUUUGUCUCUACAUACAGUAUGUGUCAGCUCGGGAUGGAAAUUAGUUUAGUCUUCGUAACAGGAUGUUUUCCAAUUGAGUUGAUUAGGCGGAUUUCUUCAAAUCUGUACCUCAUUGGUCUGUUGUACAGUGCAGUGGUGUAAAUUACUUAAGUAAAAAUACUUUAAAUAGUACUUAAGAAGUUUUUUGGAGUAUCUGUAAUUUACUAUUUAUAUUUUUGCCAACUUGUACUUUUACUUCACUGCGUUCCUUGUUACGGAUACAGGUAUCCUGGGGGUAUUAGUAGGCAGCUUUCUUCAAAUCUGUACCUCACUGGUAUGUUGUGCAGUGGUGUAAAGUACUUAAGUAAAAAAUACUUUCAAUACUACUUAAGAAGUUUUGGGGGGUAUCUGUACUUUACUUUACUAUUUGCCAACUUGUACUUUUACUUCACUACAUUCCUAAAGAAAAUCAUUUAAACACAAAUGCUUAGUCAGUAAAUUAUGUCUGAGUGUGGGAGUGUGCCUCUGGCUAUCAGUCAAUAAAAAAACUAAAAAAUAAA